GCGGGCGGUGGCACGUAUCUGUAGUCCCACCUACUUGGGAGGCUGAGGCUGGAGGAUCGCUUGAGCCCAGGAGGUCUGGGCUGUAGUGCGCUAUGCUGAUCGGGUGUCUGCACUAAGUUCAGCAUCAAUAUGGUGACGUCCUGGGAGCGGGGUGCCACCAGGUUGCCCAAGGAGGGGUGAACCAGCCCAAGCUGGAAACGAAGCAGGUCAAAACUCCCUUGCUGAUCAGUAGUGGGAUUGCGCCUGUGAAAAGCCACUGCACUCCGGCCUGGUCAACAUAGCAAGACCCCGUCUAU
rnacentral:SRP_RNA from 1 species